rnacentral:rRNA from 1 species
AUUGAACGCUGGCGGCAGGCCUAACACAUGCAAGUCGAACGAGUGGCGGACGGGUGAGUAAUGUCUGGGAAACUGCCUGAUGGAGGGGGAUAACUACUGGAAACGGUAGCUAAUACCACAUACCAUCAGAUGUGCCCAGAGGGGCUUAGCUAGUUGGUGGGGUAACGGGUCACCAAGGCGACGACCCCGAGCUGGACUGAGAGGAUGACCAGCCACACUGGAACGAAGACACGGUCCAGACUCCUACGGGAGGCAGCAGGGGGGAAUAUUGCACAAUGGGCGCAAGCAUGAUGCAGCCAUGCCGCGUGUAUGAAGAAGGCCUUCGGGUGGUAAAGUACUUUCAGCGGGGGGGCGUUACCCGCAGAAGAAGCACCGGCUAACACCGUGCCAGCAGCCGCGGUAAUUC